AAUUUUUAAAAACAUAUUGCAAUAUACACAUCUUGUAACAUAGACACCCACACCUGACACCUAUUUGAUCAUGUUGACCAAUGUCAUCCCAAUCAAUUUAAUUAAAAA